rnacentral:lncRNA from 1 species
UGCGCUACUACACCAUACGUUAAAAUGAUAUCUCACCAACUAGCCCAGCUCUCAACCCUACUGACCUGCAUAGCAGUGGCAUAAAAUAUGAGCACCUGCAUAGUGCAGUAGACUGCAUCACCAGGUGAGUCAGGCUUUACAGGCUACGUGGAAUUUCGCUCACUGAAUAGAUUCUUCUCACGCACAGAAAUCUUCAUGGUUUGUUUACAAUGCUCAAUUUGUGCUUUUGACGCCAACGUUAUAUGGACCAGUGCGGAAUUCGUUUUAUAAUAAUAGUAAAUAUGGCUCGUCAACAUUCCAGAACUAUUCGAUACUCUAUUUGAUUCUGCCAUUGUUCGAGUUAUGCUUGAUUCAGUCUCAAAAAGAAUGGUUCUGUCUGCCUUUCUUGAAUGUAGCACGUAUAAAGACGUGGCCCACAGCAAGAGGUUCUUUGUAGCGUUCACGCUCCACUUUUUCUUCUUAUCCCAGUAUAUAAAAAGGAUGAGUCAAGUGUGUGCGUCCUAUUUCAGAUAGCAUGUUUCUUGUCCUCAAGAAAACAAUACGUGGCUGAUGACUGCUUUUAUGAUGCACUGGGUGUGCACUCGGGAGUCCCACAAGGUUGAUUUUUCCUUGGUUCGGACAUGGCAUCGCUGGGUGGCCGAUCAUCCCACAGGUGGGGCAGCCUUCAUCGAUCGGCGGCGACCCCUCCACAAGUUUGCGGGCGUCGAAGAAGUGUGCCUGCAGAAAUAGCGGGCCGUCAGAUAAUAGAAUCCAUGCUUGCAGCAGCUGAAUCUGCUUAGAUGACAACAAUGGAACCACCUUAAAACUGGGUGCAGUGAAAUCACACUACACGAACUUCAUAUUAUGUGUUUUAAUUUAUAUUAUGUAUGUGCCUGUGCAUUUCAAACCCGACCGAGAAGCAUUCAUCACCGUCGGGAGUCAAACCUUCAACCUUACACUCGGCAGUCCAAAGCAUAGCAGCCACUAAGCCAUAAUCACGGGUUGUCGGCGGAAUUUUUUUUUAUACCAACAUUUCUUUGUGACUUCCCAAACUUUUUUUCUGGCUGCCCUGUUAUUAGGGAAUCUACUGAAGCUGAAUUAACCUUUUUGGUUCUUUUUGAAAGACAUAACAAUGGUUUUUUUUCUUCGUAGUAAAUUAAGGAAUUAACUGAGACUGGUCACCACGUAUGUAUAUCAGGUGGUUUCCUGCGUAAGAAGCUACUGUAGUAAGGUUACACUGUGGUCUACAGCCACAUCUCAGCAUCAGAUAUAACCAUUAAUUACGCUGAUGUUGUGUAACGACAAAUUAUAAUGUCACAUGCAAGCACGGACUUUGAGAUUGGCUCAUCCUGCACAGUACGCCAUCGCUGAUGGUGCAAUUCGGAUGCACUAAAGUAUCAUCCGAUAUUAAAGGGACACUAUAGGCAAAUAUUAGGUCGACGUUGAUAGUUGAAAUAGCGAUCCAGAAACCUCGUAGUGCUACUUC